rnacentral:rRNA from 1 species
AAGUCGUAACAAGGUCUCCGUAGGUGAACCUGCGGAGGGAUCAUUACAAGAACGCCCGGGCUUCGGCCUGGUUAUUCAUAACCCUUUGUUGUCCGACUCUGUUGCCUCCGGGGCGACCCUGCCUUCGGGCGGGGGCUCCGGGUGGACACUUCAAACUCUUGCGUAACUUUGCAGUCUGAGUAAACUUAAUUAAUAAAUUAAAACUUUUAACAACGGAUCUCUUGGUUCUGGCAUCGAUGAAGAACGCAGCGAAAUGCGAUAAGUAAUGUGAAUUGCAGGAUUCAGUGAAUCAUCGAAUCUUUGAACGCACAUUGCGCCCCCUGGUAUUCCGGGGGGCAUGCCUGUUCGAGUGUCAUUUCACCACUCAAGCCUCGCUUGGUAUUGGGCAACGCGGUCCGCCGCGUGCCUCAAAUCGUCCGGCUGGGUCUUCUGUCCCCUAAGCGUUGUGGAAACUAUUCGCUAAAGGGUGUUCGGGAGGCUACGCCGUAAAACAACCCCAUUUCUAAGGUUGGCCUCGGAUCAGGUAGGGAUACCCGCUGAACUUAA